rnacentral:rRNA from 1 species
UACAAAGGGUGCAAGCGUUGUUCGGAAUCAUUGGGCGUAAAGCGUGCGUAGGCGGCCCUUUAAGUCAGGGGUGAAAUCCUGGAGCUCAACUCCAGAACUGCCUUUGAUACUGAAGAUCUUGAGUCCGGGAGAGGUGAGUGGAACUGCGAGUGUAGAGGUGAAAUUCGUAGAUAUUCGCAAGAACACCAGUGGCGAAGGCGGCUCACUGGCCCGGUACUGACGCUGAGGCACGAAAGCGUGGGGAGCAAACAGG